CAGCAGCCGCGGUAAUACCGGCGGCCCGAGUGGCGGUCACUAUUAUUGGGCUUAAAGCGUCCGUAGCCGGGUUGGGAAGUCCUCCGGGAAAUCUGGCCGCUUAACGGUCAGAAUGCCGGAGGAUACUCCCAGCCUAGGGGGCGGGAGAGGCCGAGGGGAUUCCCGGAGUAGGGGUGAAAUCCUAUAAUCCCGGGAGGACCACCUGUGGCGAAGGCGCUCGGCUGGAACGCGUCCGACGGUGAGGGACGAAGGCCAGGGGAGCAAACCGGAUUAGAUACCCGGGUAGUCCUGGCUGUAAACGAUGCGGACUUUGUGUCGGACAAGCUAUGAGCUUGUCCGGUGCCGGAGGGAAACCGUUAAGUCCGCCGCCUGGGGAGUACGGCCGCAAGGUUGAAACUUAAAGGAAUUGGCGGG
rnacentral:rRNA from 1 species